GCCGAACUUUCUGUGAAGGAGGUCGGGCAACCAAGCACUUCUGAUACCGUAACUGCAAGUAAAGAAAAAAAAACAUGUUCUAUGAUGCAAUAGAAAAACGGCUGGCUUGGAGAUAAUGGGGUGAAAGUAGCAGAAAAAGAAGGAAAAUUGCCCUCAAUAUGUUUGUGGAUAAACUUCCAUAGAAGGGCUUACACUGGGCUGGUUCUCAGCAGCUACAGUUGGUGAAUUAAUGCAGUGAAACUGUCAAAUUGCCUUUUGGAAAGAAGUAAGCAACCCCAAGAUAGCACUAAUCAAAAGUGAAGAACUGAAAAAACUGACGAGUUGGGAGAAGAGAUGUGUGUUAACAGUUUUGCAUCAUACAAUGUAGUGUGUUCAGUUAAUACACAUGUGUUGCUUCCUUCAAUCAUGGACUAAAACCAAACAUCUCUACCAGAGAUGCCAAACACCGAGGAAGAGAAAGAAAUGAGGAGAAAAGCUGCGUGAUUAUACUUAGAUCUAGGAAAUUAAAUGUUAUCUUUUAGUUGACUAGCAAAUGUAAGCUUUAAUAAAAACUUUAUAUUCAUGA